rnacentral:rRNA from 1 species
UACGGAGGAUCCGAGCGUUAUCCGGAUUUAUUGGGUUUAAAGGGUGCGCAGGCGGGAGAUUAAGUCGGCGGUGAAAUUUUGCAGCUCAACUGUAAAAGUGCCUUCGAAACUGGUUUCCUUGAGUGUAGAUGAAGUAGGCGGAAUUUGUGGUGUAGCGGUGAAAUGCAUAGAUAUCACGAGGAACUCCGAUUGCGCAGGCAGCUUACUAAGCUACUACUGACGCUCAGGCACGAAGGCGUGGGGAUCAAACAGGAUUAGAUACCCGGGUA